AGGAAACAGGAAGAGGGGCCAGCCCCAGGCCCUGCCACAAAGUGGGGUA
rfam:Pongo abelii chromosome 14, whole genome shotgun sequence.